rnacentral:rRNA from 1 species
GAUGAACGCUAGCGGCAGGCUUAACACAUGCAAGUCGAGGGGCAGCGUGGAGCAGCAAUGCUCUGACGGCGACCGGCGGAAGGGUGCGUAACACGUGAGCGACUUGCCCGUCACAGGGGGAUAACCGGCGGAAACGGCGACUAAUACCCCAUACGAUGUGAUGCUGCAUGGCAUUGCAUUGAAAGAUUCAUCGGUGGCGGAUAGGCUCGCGGGACAUUAGCUAGACGGCGGGGCAACGGCCCACCGUGGCGACGAUGUCUAGGGGUUCUGAGAGGAAGGCCCCCCCACACUGGGACUGAGACACGGCCCAGACUCCUACGGGAGGCAGCAGUGAGGAAUAUUGGUCAAUGGGCGGAAGCCUGAACCAGCCAUGCCGCGUGAAGGACUAAGGCCCUACGGGUCGUAAACUUCUUUAGACGCAGAGCAAUAAGGUCCACGCGUGGACCGAUGAGAGUAUGCGUAGAAUAAGCAUCGGCUAACUCCG